rnacentral:rRNA from 1 species
AUUGAACGCUGGCGGCAUGCUUUACACAUGCAAGUCGAACGGCAGCACGGGUGCUUGCACCUGGUGGCGAGUGGCGGACGGGUGAGUAAUGCAUCGGAACGUGUCCUAAAGUGGGGGAUAACGCAUCGAAAGAUGUGCUAAUACCGCAUAUUCUCUGAGGAGGAAAGUAGGGGAUCGAAAGACCUUAUGCUUUUGGAGCGGCCGAUGUCUGAUUAGCUAGUUGGUAGGGUAAUGGCUUACCAAGGCGACGAUCAGUAGUUGGUCUGAGAGGACGACCAGCCACACUGGGACUGAGACACGGCCCAGACUCCUACGGGAGGCAGCAGUGGGGAAUUUUGGACAAUGGGCGCAAGCCUGAUCCAGCAAUGCCGCGUGAGUGAAGAAGGCCUCGGUUGUAAGCUCUUUCUAGUUGAGAAGAAAAGUUAGUGACUAAUAAUCAUGAUUCAUGACGGUA